GUCACGGGAACCAGCUUGUCUCCCCAGUUAUGGCGCAGAGCUGCAAGGAUGGCUGUGGGUCAUUAAUUUCUCCGUGGCUGACCUGUGUUUGUAACGCCGCAGCUGUUGCGAGGGGGAAGGACACUGCUUCGGAUUCAAAUUCUGACUCCUUGCUGCAGUGUGUCACCUUGAGCCAGUCCCAGAUCUCUGCGUUCUCACAAUUGUAAAAUGUUAACAGUGGCUGCCUACCUUGUGGCUGGAAUUAAAUGAAUUAACGUGUGUGAAUGUGACUAGAAUUCAGUACAUGUUCAGGAAAAGCUGAUUUCCGCUUUGCUGUUACCGUGAAUAUUACUGUUUUAGGAUGUAGAAAAGGGUGGAAGGGGAUGUUAUUGCAUCCUGGAAGCUUAUCCUUUUGAGGUAAAGAUUGAUUUCUGGUCCCCUGCGUGGUAUAUAGUGUAGUUUUGACAUUAUUUAGAUGUGUUAUGCACAUUUGGGUGUUGAUUAUAUGGCUUACGAUCAAGACUAACCAGUCAUGCCGUGGGAGAUUAAGGUCGUGGUCUCUUGUCAGGAUUGUAGUGAGAUUUAAAAAUUCCAGCCAGAAAUACCAGGCUUAGAAUGCUCCGAAGCCCUCCCCACAUUUUUGCCAUCUCUAGCAGGAGGGCACUGCAUAGCAGAAACAAAGACGUUGUAAAUUGUUGCUGCCUGAGUCAUUUAUAGAGGCUUAAACAACCUGAAUGUCCUCUGACCUACCUGUAACAUUUGAUGGAGGUGUGUGAGUAACUUACAAAGCUGUAGGUCCCAAGGUCGGUCUGAAAAAGAAAGUUCAUAUCCGGGAGCACUGACCCUGUAGUGUAAUCCUGGCACCUUAAAACGUACUGCUCCCUCCACCUUCACUUCAAGGUUAUGAAAACAUUGAGUAAAAGGGAUGAUCUGUUCAAAGUCCUUAGUGUUCUGCCAAUUUAAAACAGUAAUUUUCAAAGCAGUUAUUUGCAAGGAAAUUGCCUAGAACUUCUCCCAGUGUGCGGUUGUUUUGUGUGUUUGUGUGUGUGUUUUGUUUGUUUGUUUUCAGUCUGUCCACAGGCGUACUUUUAUAGGUCUGUGAUAGUACGUAGCUCUUCCAGUUGGCAAACACCUGCUGGACAACCCCUGAGAGAUUCAUCUGAGUGAGAGAGCACUCUCCAGCCCCAUCGGAGUGGGUUUGCAGGGAAAUCAUAAGGAAGAAAUCCUUAUCUUUCCAACGCUGAGAUGCCUCUGCCGAAGAGUAGAAUGGGAGACAGAGAAACGGAGGCACAGAGAAGGAAGCGGCAGGUAAAGCUGUGAAGAACCUAACAAAUUUCAAGAUUGUAAGUGCCUUUUCCCAGGAUGCCAGCAAGUACUGAGGCAAGGCAAGUAUGAUUGCCCUAGGUGCCAACUCUUAUUUG
rnacentral:lncRNA from 1 species